GUGGUGAAUUUUGGACAAUGGGCGCAAGCCUGAUCCAGCAAUGCCGCGUGCAGGAAGAAGGCCUUCGGGUUGUAAACUGCUUUUGUACGGAACGAAACGGUCCUGGUUAAUACCUGGGGCUAAUGACGGUACCGUAAGAAUAAGCACCGGCUAACUACGUGCCAGCAGCCGCGGUAAUACGUAGGGUGCAAGCGUUAAUCGGAAUUACUGGGCGUAAAGCGUGCGCAGGCGGUUUUGUAAGACGGGCGUGAAAUCCCCGGGCUCAACCUGGGAAUUGCGCUUGUGACUGCAAGGCUGGAGUGCGGCAGAGGGGGAUGGAAUUCCGCGUGUAGCAGUGAAAUGCGUAGAUAUGCGGAGGAACACCGAUGGCGAAGGCAAUCCCCUGGGCCUGCACUGACGCUCAUGCACGAAAGCGUGGGGAGCAAACAGGAUUAGAUACCCUGGUAGUCC
rnacentral:rRNA from 1 species